rnacentral:rRNA from 1 species
UACGGAGGGUGCGAGCGUUGUCCGGAAUCACUGGGCGUAAGGGCGCGUAGGCGGCCUGAUAAGUAGGGGUGAAUCCUGCGGCUUAACCGCAGGGCUGCCUUCUAAACUGUCAGGCUAGAGCACAGUAGAGGCAGGUGGAAUUCCCGGUGUAGCGGUGGAAUGCGUAGAGAUCGGGAAGAACAUCAGUGGCGAAGGCGGCCUGCUGGGCUGUUGCUGACGCUGAGGCGCGACACG